CCACGAUUGAUUGAACGAAUCUGCUUGAAUGGUUUUUUUUUUUUUUCAAUACCCUUCAAUCUGCACAGAUCUGCUUCCGAUCUUCACAGCUGCCUCUGCGGUGAUUAAACGGAGACUACGACGGUUGUUGAAAUCAUCCACGACGGCACGACCACGCAUGGGAUAAGAACCGAAGAGAAGGUGGGUUGGACAAGUGAUUCAGCGGAGAUGAUGGCGGUGGUGAACAGUAGCAAUGCUGUGUUGUUGGUGUGGUAGGAGGUGAGUGGUGGCGGCCAGAGUUGAUGGUGAGGUGGUUAUUGCAACGGCCGGAGAUGAAACUGCUACUGGAGAUGAACGGUGCUGUCAAAAUCCAUCUUCAUCCCCACAAGAUCUGCGAAAAUAUUGAUCAAUGAUGAAUUCUGAUUUUUACUUCUUGAUAAUAGUAGAAUUUGUUUUGGUUUUUAGGUGAAAGGAGAACAAAGGGAUUGAAAAUUGAAAUUGUAGUGUGAAAUUUUGAUGUGAAAUCUUGAAG
rnacentral:lncRNA from 1 species